rnacentral:rRNA from 1 species
AACGUAGGGGACGAGCGUUGUCCGGAUUUAUUGGGCGUAAAGCGCGCGCAGGCGGCUACGCAAGUCGGGUGUGAAAACCCGGGGCUCAACCCCGGGCCUGCAUUCGAUACUGCGUGGCUAGAGGCAGGUAGGGGAGAUCGGAAUUCCUGGUGUAGCGGUGAAAUGCGCAGAUAUCAGGAGGAACACCGGUGGCGAAGGCGGAUCUCUGGGCCUGUCCUGACGCUCAGGCGCGAAAGCUAGGGGAGCGAACAGG